GGGGAUUUAGCUCAGUGGUAGAGCGCUUGCCUACCAAGCGCAAGGCCCUGGGUUUGGUCCCCAGCUCUGAAAAAAAGAAAAAGAAAAAAAUUAUUAUGCUUACAGAGGACCUGAGUUCGAUUUCCAGCACCCCCA
rnacentral:tRNA from 1 species